rnacentral:sRNA from 1 species
ACACAAGCAAUAUAAAAACUGGUAAAAUGUGAUUGGAUUUGCCACAUCUAUUAUUACUCAAGAGUUAUCCAAAACCUUGAAUUUUAUUUGACUGGACCGUGUUCUUUUGAUGUUUUUUUUAAAACAGAGUAACAAGUUAACCUGUUCCAGUAACAAGGGCAGUGAUUGGGACUGAUUGGUUGCUGUUAAUGUUUGUAUACAGAGUGUCCAUUGAUUUGUGAGGUUCUAUCCCUUGUUAUCUACACAUUGUAUGAUUUGUUAAUGUCUUUGUGUUAUUGUUUUGGAGUCUAGCAUUCAUUACCAUAUUAUUGAUGAAAUAAAAGAAUCGAAAUUAUCAG